rnacentral:RNase_P_RNA from 1 species
GCAAGCGGUCGGGCAGGUUACGGGGGCAACCCUGAGGAAGCUCCUCCCUCCGGCUGGGGGGCCUGGUGCGGCGACGCACAGCAGGAGACUGUUGGCUCUGGAACAGAAACGAUACCCGCCAGCUAAAUGACGGUGAAAGGCGCCUUCAGGCGCCUGGAGGAUUGUUGGGAAAGGGAUGAAACGGCCAACCCAGGCAGAGCAAGGCCAAAUCGGACCAAUCAAGCACCCUCAGGCGAGGUCCGGGUAGGCCACAUAGUCAAAUCCUGCCUGAACAGAAGGAGGGCUACGAGCCGCAUGC